AGCAGCCGCGGUAAUUCCAGCUCCAAUAGCGUAUAUUAAAGUUGUUGCAGUUAAAAAGCUCGUAGUUGAAUUUCGGGAUCAAUAUGUUGGUCGUGCCUUGGUACGUACUAUCUUAUUGGUUUCUCCCUUCUGACGAACCAUGAUGUCAUUAAUUUGAUGUCUUGGGGAAUCAGGACUGUUACUUUGAAAAAUUAGAGUGUUUAAAGCAGGCUCACGCUUGAAUAUAUUAGCAUGGAAUAAUGAAAUAGGACGUUUGAUUCUAUUUUGUUGGUUUCUAGGAUCGAUGUAAUGAUUAAUAGGGAUAGUUGGGGGCAUUAGUAUUCAAUUGUCAGAGGUGAAAUUCUUGGAUUUAUUGAAGACUAACUACUGCGAAAGCAUUUGCCAAGGAUGUUUUCAUUAAUCAAGAACGAAAGUUAGGGGAUCGAAGACGAUCAGAUACCGUCGUAGUCU
rnacentral:rRNA from 1 species